AAGUUAAUAUUAUUGGAUUUAGGGGAUUGAUGGAAUGUACAUUCCAUCUCCCAAAAUGAAUGAAUAAUAUUAAUUUGGUAAAAGUCCUCCUUUGAUCAAUUUGUGAUCUCAUUCAUCCAGAUUUAGGGGAUUGAUGGAAUGUACAUUCCAUCUCCCAAAAUGAAUGAAUAAUAUUAAUUUGGUAAAAGUCCUCCUUUGAUCAAUUUGUGAUCUCAUUCAUC
rnacentral:lncRNA from 1 species